rnacentral:rRNA from 1 species
GCCUAAUACAUGCAAGUCGAGCGCGCCCUUCGGGGUGAGCGGCGGACGGGUGAGUAACGCGUGGGAACCUGCCCUGGAGUGGGGAACAACCUUUGGAAACGAAGGCUAAUACCGCAUACGCUCUACGGAGGAAAGGCUUCGGCCGCUCCAGGAUGGUCCCGCGUCUGAUUAGCUUGUUGGUGGGGUAACGGCCUACCAAGGCGACGAUCAGUAGCUGGUCUGAGAGGAUGAUC